rnacentral:lncRNA from 1 species
GGGGGAAAUGCUUAAGUAUAAGAAACAUAAGUUUGAUACUUUAGUUGAUAAUUAAAAUGAUGGUGUCAGUCCGGUGUACCAUACUGUUGGGAUCUGCUUUCGGAGAGAACAGAUGGUAAUUGAUUCUGUUGUUCCAGAUCUGUGACGUCCAAAGGCUGUCCAAGCCCAUUGCCCACUUGCUGUCCUUGUCACUUGUAAAACAGCAAGGUUGCAAAGGAUAAAAAAGAUGUCCGGGAACUGGCUUAGCAUCACCAGUGAUCUGCGUCUUUCACCAGGGGCAAACCUGCCCAGCUGGAUUUGUUUCCUGCUUUUUAAAAUGAGAACAGUAGUGUUCCUUUACUCAUAGAAACAUGAGCUGUGAAGAGGGGAUGAUAUAGUUUAUGUAAGCACCUCUUUAAGCUACUAGGCAGAAUAUUUUAAAAGUCUUAGGCUUGGGACUGGGGAGAUGGCUCAGCAUUAAGAGCACUUGCUGCUCUUGCAGAAGACCCAGGUUUGGUUCCCAGCAUCCACAUAGCAGCUCACAACCAUCUGUCACUCUAGUUUCAAGAGGUUCAACUCUCUCUUCUGAUCUCUGAGGACACCAGGCAUACACAUGGUGCAUAUACAUACACAUGCAGAAAUAACACUUAUGCACAUGAAAUUACAUUUAUUUGUUUUACAUAUUCACUUUACAUCAUGCUCAUUGCCCCCUUCCCAUAACCCCUCCCACAAUCAUUCUCCCAUCUUCCCCUCUUCUUCUUUGACCAGAUUACACCCCCCCCCCAUAUCUCCCUGCUCUGGUACAUCAACUCUGUGCAAGGAUAGGCGCAUACUCUCCCAUUGAGGCCAGACAAGGCAGUCUAGCUAGAAGAACAUAUCCCACAUACAAGCAACAGCUUUUGGGAUAGUCCUUGCCUCAGUUGUUGGUGAAACCACAUGAAGACCAAACUGCACAUCUGCUACAUAUUUGUGGGGAGGCCUAGGUCCAGCCCAUAUAUGUGAUUUGGUUGGUAGUUUAGUCUCUGAGAGCCCAAGGGUCCAGGUUAGUUGACUGUUGGUCUUCUUGUAGAGUUUCUAUCCUUUUGGAGGCUUACAAUCCUUCCUCCUAUUCUUUCAUAAGAGUCUCCAAGCUCCAUCUACUGUUUUUGGGCUGUGGGUAUCUGCAUUUGUGUGAGUCAGUUGCUAGGGGGAGCCUUUCAGAGGACAGCCAUGCUAGAUUCCUGUCUGCAAGCAUAACAGAGUAUCGUUAAUAGUCAGGGAUUAGUGCUUACCCAUAAGAUGGGUCUCAAGUUGGGCCAGUUACUGGUUGACCAUUCCCUCAGUCUCUGCUCCAUUCCCCGUCCCUGCAUUAUUUGUAGUCAGGAUACAUGUUGGGUCAAAAUUAUGUGGAUGGGUUGGUGUCCCUAUUGCUCCACUGGGGUUCCUGCCUGACCAUAGGAAGUGGCCCUUCAGGUUCCAUAUCCCCAAUGCUUGAAUCAUAGCUAAGGAUACCCCCAUUGAUUCUUGGGUGCCUCCCUUAUCCCAGGUCUCUGCCUUAUCCUGGAGAUGUCCCUGGCCCCCGUCAGUUGUAUAUUUCCAUUCAUUCUCAUGGACACCAUCCCACAAGGACACUUGCUCAACUAUGUUAAUAGCAGCUUUAUUCGUAAUAGCCAGAAACUGGAAAUAACCUAGAUUCCCUCAACUGAUGUGCUGUACCUAUACAAUAGAAUGCCCAUGCAGCUAUUAAAAACAAAGGCAUUAUGAAUUUUGCAGGCAAAUGGAUGGAUCUUGGGAAUAUUAUCAUGAGUGAAGUAACCUUGUCCCAAAAGGACAUGUGUGGUAUGUACUCAUUUAUAAGUGGAUCCUAGCCAUAAAAUACAGGAUAUUCAUGGUACACGCAACAGACCCAAAGAAACUAAACAAGAAGGCAGGCACAAGCAAGGAUGCUUGAAUCUCACUUAGAAGGGGGAAUAAAAUAUUCAUAAGAGGCAGAUGGAGGGAGGGGACUGGGAGGGAGGGGGAUGGAGAGGGGACUGGGGAAGUUUGGGAUCAGGUGUGGGGAGGGACAGGAGGGAUGAAAUUACAUUUAAAAAAAUUAAAGUCUGAACCUCUUCAGGUUUUUUGCCUAAUAAUUGCCUUUAGUGUAAGGGCAGCUGAAAUGGACAUGCUUCUGCCUCUGUCAAGUUGCUGAAUAGACUGAACAUGUGGGAAGCGAUUAUAAAACUGAAGGUCGUGUGAACUUCCCAUGAGGACACCCAAGGUUGCAGUCCCAGGCAUAGGAAUGGCUUCUCAGGACUGUUGUCACGAUGUUCCUUCAGAGACACAGGUGAAAGGGCAAAGGCUUUAGGGACUGAGUGUGUUUUAUAUAAGAAUGCAGGAGGAUGGUUCUUAGGCAUCUGUAGUCAGUCUUCCUAGUUUGAAAAUAACAUUGCUAGGAGCUGUCUGCAUGGUCUGCAGAUUAGUUCUUUGGGUGCCUUGUUCUCAUGACAAAGCCUGGCUGGCCUGGAACUCUGUAUAAACCUGACUGCACACCUUCAACGAUCCUCCUGCCGUCUGACACCAGCCAGGUGCCAUGUGCCAUGGAUUUUUCUUUCAAAGAAAAUAGUUUUUCCUGGUGGUGGUGGCCACAUAAUUAAUCCCAACAGUUGGGAGGCAGAGGCAGAUAGAUGUCUGAGUUUGAGACCACCCUGGUUUACAGAGCAAGUUCCAGGACAACAGGACUACACAGAGAAACCCUGUCUCAAUUAAUUAAUUAAUUAAUUAAUUAAUUAAUUAAUUUUUGUAUGUUACUGUACAAUAUCUGCAAAAUUUAAGCAUUGUUUUGAUUAUACAUGAAAAAACUAUGAGAUUUAAUUUUUGUGAAAGUUAGUUGAUUAUUUCUAAAAUACAAUAGACUUUUAAACUGUGAGUCCUGGCUGUGCGGUAGCUCACUUGGGGCCAGAGCCUUGAAUACCUAGGGAGAGAAGUUAGAGUUGGACAGAGUUUGAGAGGAGAGAGGGACAGAACACUGCUAUCAACCCAGGAAGAAAGUUCAUUAACAGUACAGUUACUUAGUCACUUAUGUGUGGUUUAAAACUGUUUUCUAUGGGAUAAAGCUAUAGAUGGCCCCAAAUGCAGCAGUCAUAACCUGAAGCAGAGUUUGUUAAACCAGAAGUUUCUGAGGCUGUUUGUGGGGACAGACACUCUCCGAGGAGCUGCUACUUGGCUGCUACAUGCUGCAAGACAAAACAACUUUUAAUAUAAUUUUUCGUUCUUCAUUUGUGUGUGUGUGUGUGCGCGUGCACACGCGUGAGCCUAAGGAGGCCAGAAGCCACUGGGUGGCUGUGAGCCAUGUGAUGUGGAUACCGGGAACAAAACCCCAGGUCCUUUGUGAGAGUAGUGAACUAUGUUAAGAGUUAAACCAUAUUUCCAGGUCC